GAACCUUAUCCUGGACUUGACAUGCACGGAUGGGCCGCCUGAAAGGGAUGGUUCCUGCCUUCGGGUGAAACGUGCACAGGUGCUGCAUGGCUGUCGUCAGCUCGUGUCGUGAGAUGUCGGGUUAAGUCCCUUAACGAGCGAAACCCUUGUCACUAGUUGCCAGCGAGUCAUGUCGGGGACUCUAGUGAGACUGCCGGUGUUAAACCGGAGGAAGGUGGGGAUGACGUCAAGUCCUCAUGGCCUUUAUGUCCAGGGCUGCACACGUCCUACAAUGGCGCAUACAAAGGGAAGCGAACCUGCGAGGGCAAGCAAAUCCCAAAAAGUGCGCCUCAGUUCGGAUUGCAGGCUGCAACUCGCCUGCAUGAAGCCGGAAUCGCUAGUAAUCGCGGGUCAGCAUACCGCGGUGAACUGUCGUUCCUGAGCCUU
rnacentral:rRNA from 1 species